UCGAAAAGCCUUGGUUACCAAACCAGGGAUUAGAUUACCCUGGGUAGUCCCACCCGGUAAACGAUGGUCUACUAGUCUUGGGUCCCUUGAGGACCUUAGUGACGCAGCUUAACGCAAUAAGUAGACCCGCCUGGGGAGUACGGCCGCAAGGGUAAAACUCAAAUGAAUUGACGGGGGCCCGCACAACGGUGGAGCAUGUGGUUUAAUUCGAUGCAACGCGAAGAACCUUACCUGGUCUUGACAUAUCUAGAAUCCUGCAGAGAUGCGGGAGUGCCUUCGGGAAUUAGAAUACAGGUGCUGCAUGGCUGUCGUCAGCUCGUGUCGUGAGAUGUUGGGUUAAGUCCCGCAACGAGCGCAACCCUUUUCCUUAGUUACCAGCGGGUUAAGCCGGGAACUCUAAGGAUACUGCCAGUGACAAACUGGAGGAAGGCGGGGACGACGUCAAGUCAUCAUGGCCCUUACGACCAGGGCUACACACGUGCUACAAUGGUAGGUACAGAGGGCAGCUACACAGCGAUGUGAUGCGAAUCUCAAAAAGCCUAUCGUAGUCCAGAUUGGAGUCUGCAACUCGACUCCAUGAAGUAGGAAUCGCUAGUAAUCGCGGAUCAGAAUGCCGCGGUGAAUACGUUCCCGGGCCUUGUACACACCGCCCGUCACACCAUGGGAGUUGAUUGCACCAGAAGUGGAUAGCCUAACCGUAAGGAAGGCGUUCACCACGGUGUGGUUGAUGACUCGGGGCCUGAAGUCGUAACAAGGUAGCCGUAGGGGAACCUGCGGCUGGAUCACCU
rnacentral:rRNA from 1 species